rnacentral:rRNA from 1 species
GCAGUCGAGCGAAUGGAUUAAGAGCUUGCUCUUAUGAAGUUAGCGGCGGACGGGUGAGUAACACGUGGGUAACCUGCCCAUAAGACUGGGAUAACUCCGGGAAACCGGGGCUAAUACCGGAUAACAUUUUGAACUGCAUGGUUCGAAAUUGAAAGGCGGCUUCGGCUGUCACUUAUGGAUGGACCCGCGUCGCAUUAGCUAGUUGGUGAGGUAACGGCUCACCAAGGCAACGAUGCGUAGCCGACCUGAGAGGGUGAUCGGCCACACUGGGACUGAGACACAGCCCAGACUCCUACGGGAGGCAGCAGUAGGGAAUCUUCCGCAAUGGACGAAAGUCUGACGGAGCAACGCCGCGUGAGUGAUGAAGGCUUUCGGGUCGUAAAACUCUGUUGUUAGGGAAGAACAAGUGCUAGUUGAAUAAGCUGGCACCUUGACGGUACCUAACCAGAAAGCCACGGCUAACUACGUGCCAGCAGCCGCGGUAAUACGUAUGUGGCAAGCGUUAUCCGGAAUUAUUGGGCGUAAAGCGCGCGCAGGUGGUUUCUUAAGUCUGAUGUGAAAGCCCACGGCUCAACCGUGGGAGGGUCAUUGGAAACUGGGAGACUUGAGUGCAGAAGAGGAAAGUGGAAUUCCAUGUGUAGCGGUGAAAUGCGUAGAGAUAUGGAGGAACACCAGUGGCGAAGGCGACUUUCUGGUCUGUAACUGACACUGAGGCGCGAA